rnacentral:rRNA from 1 species
UGGGGAAUAUUGCACAAUGGGCGCAAGCCUGAUGCAGCCAUGCCGCGUGUGUGAAGAAGGCCUUCGGGUUGUAAAGUACUUUCAGUCGUGAGGAAGGUAGUGUAGUUAAUAGCUGCAUUAUUUGACGUUAGCGACAGAAGAAGCACCGGCUAA